CCGAGUCUCUCCUUUUCUCUCUUUCGUCUCUGUCGCCUCUACGCCGGAGCGCCGCCGUCCGGCCACCCCAGGCGACGAGAUCGCCGCCGUUCUCUUCCUCUCCUCCUUUCCUUUCUAGCCCAGCUCGUAGAUCAUGCGUGCAACCAAGAUCGAUGGAGAUCGAAAGCUUGGGUGCUUCACUGUGUUCUUUGAUUUCUGGCGAGCUCCGGCAGCGAUGACGAUAGCGAGGGUCUCCGGCGAAGGUUUCUGGUGUCUCCCUCCUCUUCCCGGCGUCUCCUCUUUCUCUUGGAGACUAAAAUGAACACGAAGGGAGGCUAGAAGGGCUGUUGUCGUUGUGUUGGAGGAAACCCAAUCCCAGAAUCCGGCAAGAAAGCUACUGCCGAGAGGGGCUUGGUUUCUCGGUUGAAGUGAUAGGAUCGGGAGCAGAAGAAGAACUUGAUCAUGGAGCAGAGGUUAUUGCCAAAAUAAAUUUGGGUGCGGAAUUUCGAAAGCAAGAAUUAGGGGACUCAAGUAUGUGCCAAUGGACGUAAAGGCUCGCCGUAGGAAGUUUACGGGCAUUUGACUUGGGAAGCCUCCGUUUGGCAAUUAAAUAACCGAAUCACUCUUGCAGGUUAGCUUAGUUGAGGUUGGGCGUACUUGGAGUCAAGGCAUAGUUCGUAUUAUAGCUUCCGUUUAUUUGUUUUUCUGUCUCUUUUAUUCCUUUUAGAGUUGCUCUGAACCAAUGAAUUGUUUGAUUUGGGAUUAUAUUUAGAUUAGUGAAUAAGUUGGGAGGUGUUGUGAUUUGGAGAGCAC